rnacentral:rRNA from 1 species
AUUGAACGCUGGCGGCAGGCCUAACACAUGCAAGUCGAACGAGUGGCGGACGGGUGAGUAAUGUCUGGGACACUGCCUGAUGGAGGGGGAAAACUACUGGAAACGGUAGACAAUCCCGCAUACCAUCGGAUGUGCCCAGAUGGGAUUAGCUGGUUGGUGGUGUAACGGCUAACCUCGGAGACGAUGCCUAGCUGGUCUGGGAGGAUGACCGGCCACACUGGAACUGAGGAAGGGUCCAGACUCCUACGGUAGGCAGAAGUGGGGAAUAUUGCACAAUGGGGGAAAGCCUGAUGCAGCCAUGCCGCGUGUAUGAAGAAGGCCUUCGGGUUGUAAAGUACUUUCAGCGGGGAGGCGUUACCCGCAGAAGAAGCACCGGCUAACUCCGUGCCAGCAGCCGCGGUAAUUC